rnacentral:rRNA from 1 species
GGCGCAAGCCUGAUCCAGCCAUGCCGCGUGUGUGAAGAAGGCCUUCGGGUUGUAAAGCACUUUCAGUGGGGAGGAAGGGCNGUAAGUUAAUACCUUGNUGUNUUGACGUUACCCACAGAAUAAGCACCGGCUAACUCCGUGCCAGCAGCCGCGGUAAUACGGAGGGUGCAAGCGUUAAUCGGAAUUACUGGGCGUAAAGCGCGCGNAGGUGGUUUGUUAAGUCGGAUGUGAAAUCCCCGGGCUCAACCUGGGAACUGCAUUCGAAACUGGCAAGCUAGAGUCUGGUAGAGGGGGGGUGGAAUUCCNGGUGUAGCGGUGAAAAUGCGUAGAUAUCGGGAGGAACACCGGUGGCGAAGGCGGCCCCCUGGAC